GCCACAAAACCAUUGAAUUUAAAAAACCCUAGCACCCUCAAUACCAAACUUCCCUUGGUUUCACAAGACCUAAAAGAGGCCCUCCCUUUCGGGGGGCUCGGAUAAAAAAGAACAAAAGGGCCAACCCAGCCCUUCCUCCUCUUGCUCUUACAUUUUUAUUUUCUUACCUCCCUCAUAUUCCAAGAAUCUCAAGCCCCUGCAGCCUGUGGAGCCAAUUUUCCUCCUCCCGUAUUAAAACCCCCACAUUGCCCCCCUCUCUUGUUCAAUAUUCUGUUUUCAGCCCAGGCCGGGCGGUAGAAAGCGCGCAACGAGAUGGGCGGCUCUACUGGCCGAGCGCCGCCACCGCCGUAACUUGCUCUCUUCCGCCGCCCCCUCGCCGCCCGCCGGCGGCCAAAACCCUCUCCACUAAUUCGAAUUCGGAGGCCUCAUAAACUUUUAUUUCUCUAUGGCCGGCUGGUCCCUCUCCUCGGAAUCUCUCUCCCUGGACGUCGUGGAGAUCCUCCGCAAGCUCCAGAGCGUCGGCUUCUGCAGGCAUCUCGAUUUCCCCGUGAAAGAGCUUAGCAGGGAGAAGCGCGGCACCCUCUUCUAUCAGAUGCUAUCUGUUUUCUUGAAGGAGAUCUACCGGAGGUGCGAGAUCCGGCCGCUGCCGGCGACGCUCGGAGAUGGACGGCCGGUGGAUUUGUUCGAGCUCUUUUCGGUUGUGCACGAGAAGGGCGGAUACAGAUCGGUGACGAAGAGUCAGCAGUGGGCAGCGGUGUCGGAGGCGAUCGGGUUGGACCCCAGAGUUGUCUCUUUGUUGAAGUUGAUCUAUAUCAAGUAUCUUGAUGCUCUAGACCAGUGGAUUUGGAUAGUUUCAGAGAAGAAUUCAGUGAAGAAAUCGAAGGCCAUGGUCAGAGGUCUUCUGUGUGAAGUUCCUGAUCAGAAGGAAGAAUUUCUCUCUGCGCCACCUUCAAAUUCGAAGAAAGAUCAGUUCUUGACACCAGCUAGAGGGAACGAGUGCAGAGUGCUGCUUGGUGGUAGUGUGUGUGAUAAUGGUGGUAUGUUGGUUGAGGACAUGGGUGUAGUGAAUGGUAGGUUCUCUCAUCUUAAACGGAAGCGGGAGACUCUUGUGGGGAUGCUGAACUGGUUGAAAAAGUUGGCAAAAGAUCCUGGCGAUCCUUCAAUAGAAAAGUUAUUCUUGAAGGAUCGUGCAAAAAGUAAGGAAGCUCAUGCAUUGAAUAAACUAUAUGCACAGGUGCUUCUGGCCAGGCAGGCAAUGUUUAUCAAAAAGAUCCGGUGCAUGAGCUCUAAUGGUCCUCUCAUGCAGAAAGGGCAGAAGGUACAUCCUUCCUUUUAUGAGGAUUCUAUUGAUGACAAUUCCCAGAGCAGAGAGAAAAUAAACUGCAGCCAGAGGCUUCAAGCUGUAAACAAGCAAUAUACUCCAGGCUUUUCUUCUGACACAUCCACAAAUCCUGACGAUGACAUGGAUGAGAAGGGUUUUGUGGCUGUAGGAGGGGAGAAUAAUGAUAUCAAACGAAGACUUCGAAAUCCCAGCUUGAUGCUUGACGCAAUAGCUGACUUGCUAUCCAUAGACCGACUACAGAAGCAGCGGGUCCCUGUAGACCCGUCCUUUCAAGCAAAUGUGCCAGAUUGGACUGGCAAGCCUUAUGAAACUUCUUGUGAUCCUGAGACCUUGAAAUGGUUGGGGACACGGAUCUGGCCUCCAGAAAAUCAAGAGAGGAGGUUGUCAUUCAGCCAAAAUCCUAUUGGAGAAGGAAGGAAAGAUACUUGUCUUUGUGAACGUCCAGGUUCUGUAGAGUGCGUCAGAUUUCACGUGGCAGAGAAAAGACUCCAAUUGAAAUGUGAGUUGGGUCCAGUUUUCUAUGCUUGGAGAUUCAAUCGCAUGGGUGAGGAAGUUUCACUUUCAUGGACAGAGGAAGAGGAAAGGAAGUUCAAAGACAUUGUGCGCCUGAAUCCACUGUGUCUGGCAAAGAAUUUUUGGGACCAGCUUUAUCGAUGUUUUCCAUUUAAGGGGAGGAAAAAUCUAGUGAGCUAUUAUUUCAAUGUGUUUCUUCUUGGACGUAGGAGUUACCAGAACAGAAUGACUCCAAACAGCAUUGACAGUGACAAUGAGGAGACAGAGAUUGGCCUUUUAAGCAAUCGUUUUGGCCAUGAUGCAGUCAAGGUUCGUUAUCCUGAGUCUAUUGUCUGCAGUCUUAAUGCACAGUGUGUGGAUUUGGAUGAUGAUAUGGAUGCGAAUUAGAAUUCUAGGUGGUGAUGUAAACCAGGAGCAGCAUAUCUGAUCUUCACUUUUCAGAGCAGCAAUUUUGACCAGAGAUGAUUAUUUUCACUCUCUUGCUAUGAUGAUGAUGAUGAUGAUGAUGAAAACUCUCGUAGAGGCUAAAUCUUGUCAUGGAUGGAUUUAUGAAUGUUCAAGGAAAGUAAAUUUUGCUAAGAUUCCUACUGACAUGGUGGGCAUGAGAUCAGAUAGACUUGGAUUUUCCUACAGUGUUGAGACGAUAACAGCCAUUUGGGUACAUAUGGACAUAGAGAGGCUGUCGAGUGUGGACCGUAUCUUCAUUUUUGCCUCAAGAACCAAGGACGUAAACUUGUCCUGGCAGUCAUAACAUAUUACUCAAGGUUUCAUCACAGGUAGUUGCCUUUGAUACAAAAUGAUGCGACCAAUCAAAGAUUUUGAAGAAUGAAGGAAGAGGAAGGACAAAGACAGAUUGAACUCUGUUCAGAGCACUCUCUAGGAGAAGCCCUGCUAUUGCUUAGAGUCCAUGGACUUGAUAUGUUAGGUGUAUAAUAUUUGUAACGAAUGAUAAUUUUAAUAUUUCUAUAGGAUUUCAUUUAGUAAUUGUUUAUGCAGUCCUUAAUCUGCAGAGUCUUUGAGUGGACCCAAUGUAGAUCAAAUAUAAUUCUCUAGCAUUGUUGUAUCCAUUUGGGUCAAACAUGCAUCCAAGUAGUACUUCCAGAUCCUUAUUAGGUUAAGCCUGGUAAAGCAGACCCAAAAGGCCAAAAUAUUAUUGGAUCCACUCGCACCUAGUUGCACACAUAUUAGGUUAAGUCUGGGUCAAACAGAUCCAACCAUCCCAUGCGACUUGCUGAAAGAUGCUCGUGCAGCAAGCGUUCAGGAGCCUAAACUUCGUUUUGCAGGACCUUCAUGGAAGAGUUUUGAUUGAGAGACUCAGUUGUACCAAGCAAAAUGAAAGCAGGAAACAGGAAGUGAUUUUUAAGAAUAUUUGCUAGACGGAAAAGGGAAACAAGAUGCCAAAAGCGAGUAACUUCUGGGCAUUCUUGUUUCCAUCAUUUGUGUGGAAACUAAAUUUUUGAAUCGAUUUGGCUGGUGCUUUUCCUGGGAAGUUAUUUAUUGGGUGGGAAACAUGUUGAUUGUUAUAUAAGCAUGGAAGGGCUUUUCAGAGGGGAAAAAAGGGUACAAAAAAGCAAAGGCAACACCAUGGUUAGGCAACUUGUCCACAAUAAUCAGGUGAUCAUUGUCUUUUCUACUUAAAGGUGACCCUGAUCUUAGUUAAACAUAACAGUUCCUACUAAAUAUAUCUUAAUGUUGCAUGGUAGGUCCUUGAAGUAGUAUUUUCCUGAGUUUCAUUCUGCAAUGUUGCUAGUGCAAAUUAGUCAUUUAAACUUGGUUUUUAUGCUAGCCCAACCCACUCCAAGUUCAGUCUCAUGAAAAAAAUUAGAAUCAACAGGUUGGCCAUGGGAUCUAGAUGCAAUUCAACUCAACUAAGUCUUGAUCUCAAACUACUUGGGGUCGGCUACAUGAAUCGUUUUCCUCCAUUAUGCUCUAUUUAGAGCCACACUUUCUGAAAGAUGGACCAAUAUUUAGUCCUUUCUUACUACUUUAUUCUACAUGAUUUUCA